rnacentral:rRNA from 1 species
UACAGAGGGUGCAAGCGUUGCUCGGAAUCAUUGGGCGUAAAGGGUAGGUAGGUGGUCUCAUUUGUCUGGGGUGAAAUCCUUGAGCUUAACUCAAGAAGUGCCCCAGAAACGGUGAGACUAGAGUUCUGGAGAGGGUCGUGGAAUUCCCGGUGUAGCGGUGAAAUGCGUAGAGAUCGGGAGGAACACCAGAGGCGAAGGCGGCGACCUGGACAGAUACUGACACUCAACUACGAAAGCGUGGGGAGCAAACAGG